GCGAAGGAGAAUUCUCUUUAAUAGGGA
rnacentral:piRNA from 1 species